rnacentral:rRNA from 1 species
UACGAAGGGGGCUAGCGUUGUUCGGAAUUACUGGGCGUAAAGGGCGCGCAGGCGGCCACGCACGUCCGUUGUGAAAUCGCCCGGCUCAACUGGGCGGGGUCAGCGGAUACGGCGUGGCUGGAGCAAGCUAGGGGGCAAUGGAAUUCCCGGUGUAGUGGUGAAAUUCGUAGAUAUUGGGAAGAACACCGGUGGCGAAGGCGGCUCUCUGGACCGAUACUGACGCUGAGGCGCGAAAGCGUGGGGAGCAAACAGG